rnacentral:rRNA from 1 species
UACGUAGGGUGCAAGCGUUGUCCGGAAUUAUUGGGCUUAAAGAGCUUGUAGGCGGUUCGCUAAGUCUGCUGUGAAAGUCCAGGGCUCAACCCUGGAAAGCCGGUGGAUACUGUCGGACUAGAGUGCGGAAGAGGCGAGUGGAAUUCCCGGUGUAGCGGUGAAAUGCGCAGAUAUCGGGAGGAACACCAAUUGCGAAGGCAGCUCGCUGGGACGUUACUGACGCUGAGACGCGAAAGCGUGGGGAGCAAACAGG